UACCUCAGUGAUUUUUCUCGAGAAAGUG
rnacentral:piRNA from 1 species